rnacentral:rRNA from 1 species
UACGAAGGGGGCUAGCGUUGUUCGGAAUUACUGGGCGUAAAGCGCACGUAGGCGGAUACUUAAGUCAGGGGUGAAAUCCCGGGGCUCAACCCCGGAACUGCCUUUGAUACUGGGUAUCUCGAGUCCGGAAGAGGUGAGUGGAAUUCCGAGUGUAGAGGUGAAAUUCGUAGAUAUCGGGAAGAACACCAGUGGCGAAGGCGGCGACCUGGGCCAAUAGUUGACGCUGAGGUGCGAAAGCGUGGGGAGCAAACAGG